UACGAAGGGGGCGAGCGUUGUUCGGAUUUACUGGGCGUAAAGGGCGCGCAGGCGGUUCUGUUUGUCGAGUGUGAAAGCCCCGGGCUCAACCUGGGAACUGCGCUCGAAACGGCAGAACUAGAGUUCGGGAGAGGAGAGUGGAAUUCCCAGUGUAGAGGUGAAAUUCGUAGAUAUUGGGAAGAACACCGGUGGCGAAGGCGGCUCUCUGGGACGGUACUGGACGCUGAGACGCGAAAGCGUAGGGAGCGAACAGG
rnacentral:rRNA from 1 species